rnacentral:rRNA from 1 species
CCCUUAGAUGUCCUGGGCCGCCCGCGCGCUACACUGAGUGUCUGAGAUACGAGUCUGCCUGGUCCGGCAAGGUCUAGGUAAUCGCUAAAAGACACAUCAUGCUUGGGAUAGAUUAUUGCAAAUAUUAAUCUUGAACGAGGAAUUCCUAGUAAGCGCAAGUCAACAGCUUGCGUUGAUUACGUCCCUGCCCUUUGUACACACCGCCCGUCGCUACUACUGAUUGGAUGUUUAAGCGAGGUUCUCGAACUGCUAGCGACUUAGCUUCGGUGAGGUCGCAGUGUGGGAAGUGAACCUAGCUUUGGUGUCUAGAGGAAGUAAAAGUCGUAACA